CAUGCCUGGGCUGGGCUGUUUGAACAGCUUUGGGGAAAAGCAAUAAGGCAAGGCAUCUGGGCAGCCAGCUCCCUCCUUGAAGUCUGGAUGGGAGGAAAGCGUAAGGCACCAGAUUUUCAAAACAACAUCCUCUGCAGGAGUCCCGCAUUUUUCUUUAAAUGAAUGCUUAUGAAAAUGAGACCAGAAAAUGAGGGCAAGGAAAUGGUCAAGAGAAGAGGUUGAAAAGCAAAUGCCAUGCGGCGGUGGAUUUCCUGUUGUCAUAGAGCGACUUCUCCCCAGAGACCAGGUCAGUGGAGAACAGAAGAGGCCUUAGAGGUCUCACAGUGUCUUCUGAUGUAAGAAGGCCUCCCUCAGAACCCCACUGGUGUCCAAAUGGCUGGGACAGGACACUAUUCCUCACUGAUGACCUUGCUCCUGAAACCGACAGCAGAUAGUGUGGCCAUUGGCUGAUCUUCCACUGAAUUUCCCAAGAGUUGCUUCAGAUAUGAGCAGCCACAAAUCAUACUCUAUCUGAAAAGGCAAAAGCCUAGAACUGCUCCAUAAGACAUAAACAGUGUUAAUGAUCGUCUACAAAACCAAAAGGAAUUUCCUGCAGUACUUUCAAAACACAAAACUAGUGGCUACUCAGAAACACUUUUCGUUGUUUUGUGCAUUUUAAACAACUCUGGUUAGGUGUAAUAUGACUGCUUCAGUUCACAUUUUUGAUACUAUAAAUAUCAU